GACGAACGCUGGCGGCGUGCUUAACACAUGCAAGUCGAACGGAAAGGCCCUGCUUUUGUGGGGUGCUCGAGUGGCGAACGGGUGAGUAACACGUGAGUAACCUGCCCUUGACUUUGGGAUAACUUCAGGAAACUGGGGCUAAUACCGGAUAGGAGCUCCUGCUGCAUGGUGGGGGUUGGAAAGUUUCGGCGGUUGGGGAUGGACUCGCGGCUUAUCAGCUUGUUGGUGGGGUAGUGGCUUACCAAGGCUUUGACGGGUAGCCGGCCUGAGAGGGUGACCGGCCACAUUGGGACUGAGAUACGGCCCAGACUCCUACGGGAGGCAGCAGCGGGGAAUAUUGCACAAUGGGCGGAAGCCUGAUGCAGCAACGCCGCGUGCGGGAUGACGGCCUUCGGGUUGUAAACCGCUUUCGCCUGUGACGAAGCGUGAGUGACGGUAAUGGGUAAAGAAGCACCGGCUAACUACGUGCCAGCAGCCGCGGUGAUACGUAGGGUGCGAGCGUUGUCCGGAUUUAUUGGGCGUAAAGGGCUCGUAGGUGGUUGAUCGCGUCGGAAGUGUAAUCUUGGGGCUUAACCCUGAGCGUGCUUUCGAUACGGGUUGACUUGAGGAAGGUAGGGGAGAAUGGAAUUCCUGGUGGAGCGGUGGAAUGCGCAGAUAUCAGGAGGAACACCAGUGGCGAAGGCGGUUCUCUGGGCCUUUCCUGACGCUGAGGAGCGAAAGCGUGGGGAGCGAACAGGCUUAGAUACCCUGGUAGUCCACGCUGUAAACGGUGGGUACUAGGUGUGGGGUCCAUUCCACGGGUUCCGUGCCGUAGCUAACGCUUUAAGUACCCCGCCUGGGGAGUACGGCCGCAAGGCUAAAACUCAAAGGAAUUGACGGGGCCCCGCACAAGCGGCGGAGCAUGCGGAUUAAUUCGAUGCAACGCGUAGAACCUUACCUGGGUUUGACAUGGAUCGGGAGUGCUCAGAGAUGGGUGUGCCUCUUUUGGGGUCGGUUCACAGGUGGUGCAUGGCUGUCGUCAGCUCGUGUCGUGAGAUGUUGGGUUAAGUCCCGCAACGAGCGCAACCCUUGUUCACUGUUGCCAGCACGUUAUGGUGGGGACUCAGUGGAGACCGCCGGGGUCAACUCGGAGGAAGGUGGGGAUGACGUCAAGUCAUCAUGCCCCUUAUGUCCAGGGCUUCACGCAUGCUACAAUGGCUGGUACAGAGAGUGGCGAGCCUGUGAGGGUGAGCGAAUCUCGGAAAGCCGGUCUCAGUUCGGAUUGGGGUCAGCAACUCGACCUCAUGAAGUCGGAGUCGCUAGUAAUCGCAGAUCAGCAACGCUGCGGUGAAUACGUUCCCGGGGCU
rnacentral:rRNA from 1 species